GGCCGUUUAGCUCAGUUGGCAGAGCGUCGUGCCGUAAACGCGAAUGUCGUGGGUUCGAUCCCCCAAUGGCCA